ensembl:snoRNA SNORA71 Small nucleolar RNA SNORA71
UCCUGUAUCGAAAGUGAUCAUGACAUCACUGUUGUCAGGUCAUUGAUAGUACAGGAAGAUUGAACUUGAAGUCUUUCCCGUGUUUGUUGGGAUCUCAUUCCCUGUCAAACCCUGUAUCUUUCAAACA